ACCGCGAUAGCUCAGCUGGUAGGGCAUCUUCCCGGUGUGCGGAGGGCCGCCGGUUCGAUUCCGGCUCGCGGCG
rnacentral:tRNA from 1 species